UUUUGGAAUGUGGAUAUGAGGUAUCGUUUUCUUGGUGUGUUGGGGGACGAGAAGGAAGUGAAAGAAAGUUGGAAACAACAGCCACAUUCCGUAACAUUGACACUGGACGGGUUGACGGUAUCCGUGUUUAAUACAGUAGCACACUGGAAAUACUUGCUCGAUCAGGCUGUUUAUGAUGAAGUUUCAAAACCAGUGAGGAAUGGCUACAGGUCUACCAUAUGCGGACUUCUUCGAUUCAUACGAAAUGUGGA